AAACCUAACUCAGCUCAACGUAAAGUNUCAAUUGGUAGAGUAUUUCGUUUACACCGAAAAUGUUAGCGGUUCGAGUCCGUUAUUAUUCA
rnacentral:tRNA from 1 species